rnacentral:RNase_P_RNA from 1 species
CGAGGAGGCAAGGCAAUCGCACUUCAUCUUCUUGAAAGAUGUCGUGAGGAAAGUCCGAACUCUCACCCUGAUUUUCAGGGUUAAAAGGGUAGCGGGUAAUACCCGUCGGCGGCGACGCUAGAGGUGCGAACAGAGACGAGAAAUGUGAAACGGCUAAAUCCUUACCCGAGAGCAAGAACAAACCAAAAGGUCUUGUUUUAUCAGGAGCUUUUGGAAAGGUAGUUCGCUUGAGCCAGAGAGCAAUUUCUGGCCUAGAUAGAUGAUUGCCACCGAGUACAUAAAAAAUUAUGUGCUCGGGACAGAAUUCGGCUUAUUGCCUCCUCGGGCU